rnacentral:rRNA from 1 species
GAGCACGUAGGUGGGUUUGUAAGUCAGAUGUGAAAGCCUUCCGUUCAACGGAAGAAUUGCAUCUGAAACUGCGAGUCUUGAGUGUAGGAGGGGAGAAUGGCUCUUCUGGUGGAGCGGUGAAAUGCGUAGAUAUCAGAAGGAACUCCGGCGGCGAAAGCGAUUCUCUGGCCUAUUACUGACACUCAGUGUGCGAAAGCUAGGGGAGCAAACGGGAUUAGAUACCCCGGUAGUCCUAGCCGUAAACGAUGGGCACUAAGUAGAGGGGUUUU